rnacentral:rRNA from 1 species
GUAGGGAAUAUUGGACAAUGGCUGAAAAGCUGAUCCAGCCAUCCCGCGUGAAGGCAGAAGGUCCUAUGGAUUGUAAACUUCUUUUCUCUGGGAAGAAAAAGCUUGAUUCAUCAAGCCCUGACGGUACCAGAGGAAUAAGCACCGGCUAACUCCGUGCCAGCAGCCGCGGUAAUACGGAGGGUGCAAGCGUUAUCCGGAUUCACUGGGUUUAAAGGGUGCGUAGGCGGGCUUGUAAGUCAGUGGUGAAAGCCCGGAGCUUAACUCCGGAACUGCCAUUGAUACUGCAGGUCUUGAGUACACUUGAGGUGGGCGGAAUACAUCAUGUAGUGGUGAAAUACUUAGAUAUGAUGUAGAACACCGAUUGCGAAGGCAGCUCACUAAAUUGUAACUGACGCUGAGGCACGAAAGCGUGGGGAUCAAACAGGAUUAGAAACCCCUGUAGUCC